CCCCAGUCCAGCGACGGCUGCCUGACAGUCACUUGGCUGGAGAGCGUCAGCAGCGAUCAUGCUGUGCUGCUUUCCCAGGCCUCGAGGCCGCAGCACCAGGAGCCGUGCAGGGAAAGCACUUGGGCGCGAGUGAGAGGUUGGAUGGCUAAGUCCCCGUGCUUCAGGCCACUCACCAGGAACUACCUGGCCUUCAGGGGCAGCACAGGGGCGGGUCUCCCCAGACCCAGAGACCUGGGAAUCUGAGACGAGCGGGAGCCCAGGGCAGAUCUCCCUGGACCUGGACACCAGACUCUGGGGCCACCGAGUCCAGGACAGGUCCAGUCAGGCCUUGGCCACCACUGUGAGUCCCCGGUGUAACUCCCGCCCGGCUUCCUCACUUUGAGGAGGGUGGGGGACGAGGCCAUGAGGGAGGCUCCUCCUGGGCAGGGGCAGGUGUGGGAGGCUGUGAGCCCGGGGCCCUGGCCUGUGCCCCCAGGACAGGGCUGAGAGGAGGAGAAGGGCAGUGCCCAGUGAUGAGCUGCAGCCCGCAGGGCCUUCUCCUGUCCUCUGGGGUAGAAGCCUGAGACAGAACUGUUUGUGUUUUGGGAGCACAAGGUUACCCGGAGCAGAAACAGCACAAACUGGGGUCAGGCAGAGCCUUGUGCUUGCUGCCAGCUGCCGGGCACUGUCCCCACAGAGCUGCACACAGGACACUGUGUCACUUCCGUCCUGUAACAGCUUUAUUCUGCCGUGUCACCUCAGGGCAACUCCUGGCCAGGGCCCAUGUGGUACCCACAGGGGCUACACAACCUGCAAAGGUGGCAGUGAGCACAGCCGGGCAGCCUCUCAGGACCAGGAAGUGGGCCUGACUUUUUCUGAGCCGUUAACAGACACCAGGGACAGGCUGGCCUCGCAGGAGGCCUGGCCCCAGGCUGAGCCUCAGUUUCUCUCUCCACCACAGGACCUGAGGGUGGGUGGGCUCUUAAUGCCCCAGGCCAUGACCUCUCCUUGUUAAUGAGCCAUGAAUUGGUAGCAUUUCUGUGUGUCCCUUCUGAAAUUACCUUCUAACAUGCAUCGCUUUUCUGCCGGCCCCACUUGUGCCCCUUCUGGUACGAGCCAUGAUGGUGACUUGCAGAGUGGUCUGGACUUCGGCCUCCAGCCCUCCUGAUGGCCUGGGUGGGCCCCAGUUCCAUGUCUCCCCUCUGUUCCCCGAGGGAGCCCCUGGAACAGGACUUCCUGGACAGCUGCCCCAUCCAGGCAGACUUCCUCCUGGACCCCUCUGGGGCCUGCAUUCCCGCCCUGCAGGAAGGGAUGGUGCUAAGGUGAGCUCUGUGGUCGGCACCCAGGGGCACUUGGCCACUGUGGCCCCAAGCCUUUGGAAGGUAUGAGCCCUGCCUCAGCCUGCUCGCAACUCUGAGCAAUAGGGCGCUGAGAAAAUCGGGCUCUCAGCAUCACUGUGGGGCAGAACUGGGGUCUCCAGGGCAGUGCUGACCGGGGCCUGCUGGAUUCCCUUCCAUCCCUGGCCGGCUGUGCUUUGCCCCACUGAGCCCUGCACAGGGGAAGGCUGUCCGUUCCCUGUAAAGGAGACCACAGAGUGACUCAGCAGGCCUCUGGUCUUCCCAGAGCAGGAGUCUGUGGGGAUGCAAAGGGCCAAGGCCUACUGACAUCAGGGAAGAGCAGGUGGGGUCCCCAUUCCAUGGACGUAUGUGAAGACACACUGUGUGCAGACCUUUCCCAGGGCUCGGCUAUGAUCGCUAGUAGCCAGAGCAGAUGCAACCCCUGCCCUCUGGGGCUUCAGUGCUGUUUGGGGUCCUCAGUCACCCUGGACAGCUGAGCAAGCAUUCCUCGAACUGCAGUAGCUGGCACUUUCCCGGCCUCCCUAGAUGGGGACCCACAGCAGUACAAGAGGAGCCCAGGAGCGGCACAGACACCGGGCAGCACAGCGCUGCAGAGCUAAAGCCUGAGGAGAGGACCAGCUCCAGCCCCAGCUGAAGUCCCAUGUGUGGAGCCCGAGCCAGCUCCACCUGCAGCUUCCUGCCCAGCGGUGGGACCACAGCCAGAGUCCGUGGCAGCCCCUUCACCUGCUGCAGUGCUGGGGCACCUGGUGGUUGCACGGUGGUCGGUGUCACCUCCUGAGCUCCUCCUGGGGCCAGCUCCCGGGCCCCUCCCACUGUUCCCCUCACUUACGCUGGCUCUUGUUUUGGUAUUUACACUUGCCCUUAUUCCUUG
rnacentral:lncRNA from 1 species